rnacentral:rRNA from 1 species
GACGAACGCUGGCGGCGUGCUUAACACAUGCAAGUCGAACGGAAAGGCCCUGCUUUUGUGGGGUGCUCGAGUGGCGAACGGGUGAGUAACACGUGAGUAACCUGCCCUUGACUUUGGGAUAACUUCAGGAAACUGGGGCUAAUACCGGAUAGGAGCUCCUGCUGCAUGGUGGGGGUUGGAAAGUUUCGGCGGUUGGGGAUGGACUCGCGGCUUAUCAGCUUGUUGGUGGGGUAGUGGCUUACCAAGGCUUUGACGGGUAGCCGGCCUGGGAGGGUGACCGGCCACAUUGGGACUGGGAUACGGCCCAGACUCCUACGGGAGGCAGCAGUGGGGAAUAUGGCACAAUGGGCGGAAGCCUGAUGCAGCAACGCCGCGUGCGGGAUGACGGCCUUCGGGUGGGAAACCGCUUUCGCCUGUGACGAAGCGUGAGUGACGGUAAUGGGGAAAGAAGCACCGGCUAACUACGU